GAUAAGUGGUGUGAUGUUAUUGAUGGUAAACAGGAGACUGUGACCUUGAAUCUGAAGAUCUGUGAUGAAGACUGGACGUUUGGGGUCACUCUCUGUUACAGUACUACAAAUCUAACAGUGUUAAACUCAGCCACAAAGAGGUUGUCUCUGAUGUCCACACAUAAACCGAAUGGAGACUUUAAAUGACAGUGAAUGUAACGGAGGAACUGUCCGUCCUGAUCUAGGAUGUGGAUACGGUCAUUGUUAUCGUCUGCUGUCAGGAUGUGACUCUGGCUGUCUGUAGUUAUGCCGUAUGGAGUAAAUGAUUGCUCGGUAUUAGAGGGAUGACCAGUGUAUCUAAAUCGGAGUUUUCCUGACUGAUUGACCACCACUACUGCUCUAGCUGAAAAGUCAGCCACACAGAUAUCCAGGUUCUUGUUCUCACUGAUGUGUUUAUAUAAACCACUAGAUGAGUAGAGAGGACGACCCUGAUCAUCAAACUGAAUGCUUUGUUUCUCUGUGGAGCCAGAGUAACGCACGACUUUGGAUUGUUCUCUAUCAUCACUGUACAUGGUAACCAGGAGAUCGUUAGCCGCGGUACAGCAGACAUUGAGAGGUCCCCACCCCUGUAGUGUGAUCACGAAUGAGUUGAGUGGAAUAAUGAACCUCCAGAUGUCUAUGUACACGUUUAUGAAUAAACUUUGUUGUACUCGCCAUGCGAGCUUAUUCA